UGUAAUAACACCUGGGAGGACAUUGUUUGGCAAAUCUUCUUUCCCUUCUACCAUCUCUGAAUUCAUUGAUGUUGUUAUGUAAAGAAAACCAAUACAAAAAAUUUAUAGACAAGUAUAUAAAUUAAUCAUGGAUGUAGAAAUAGAAAGGAUAUAGAAUUGCUAAAUUGUUCUUUGUAGCUGUGCAUGGGUCGGUCAGGUUUGGAGUGAAUUGGACCUGAAUUGAUAUUCUGGGCUAAUCAAAUUGAUACUGAUCAUCAUCAUACAAGCAAACACACACCAAAAUUGUAAAGAAGUAAACCUGCUACCAAGCAAACACACACCAAAACAACAAUUUUUACGUGGUUCGGCAAAGAUGCCUAUGUGGGGAGAAAGGAGAUUGCUUCUUAUCUGAGACGAUCUUUCAAGCUUCUCAUAGAUCGGUUUUCCUCCCAUAGGCUUUAUAUAAUAGCCUUACAUUAAAAACUAGGUAUCUACAAAGUAGUCCUAGUAUUGGGCCUCUACCUGCUGCUCAGUCCGCUAGUUGUCUGCCGCCUGUCAGAACUUUAAGGCAGUUUUCCUCACAAACUGUAAUGAACCACUACGUGUGCCAUAUACUGUUGGAAAGAUGGAGAAGUCUACUUUCCAACCCAAAAGACUGAUCAUGAUUACGACUACCGAGCACAAAGUUAUAGUCAUUCUACUAUAGGCUAUCAUACGUGAACAGAUUCCAAACAACCAUAACCAAACCCAACGAGCAAUUCUACUAACAACGGUACAGACACGAGUCACCCGGUCUACACAAGAAUGUGUAACUCUAAUCCUAUCAGGGUUUGUAGGGGUACUACAUACUCCAGCCAAUCAAAAGCAGCCACGUGGCACAGUCAUCCACUCACCAGAUCGCUACAGCAUCGACCUCCCCGCAGCUCGCCCACAACGACCUAACCAUCUGAUUCAAAGGCGACCUGCUAUACACACGUGCUUUCAUUCAAUGCACAGAAUAUUCUCAUCAGUUACACAAUUAAUUCACAGGGAUGAUCCGCGCGCGUUACUCAUUUAAUACUCAUUAUGAUGGCGGAGAAUCUGCAAGAUCCACGAUCCACGCCCUUCCAUCUUCUAUAUAAACAGAACUACGAUGGCUUGAUCUCUAAGUUCAAUUCCCCCGAGCUAGAGUACGUAGGCAAUCUCGAUCUCAACGAGGUGCAGCCACUCCGAUCUCCAACACCCCCAUUUGGUCAAGUCUCCCUAGCGACCUGACCCAGCAGUGCAUUAAUCUAGAAAUAGGUUAAUACAUUUGGCGCCGACUGCAAGGAAUUCGAUAUAAUCGAAAACCCAAACCCCCCCCACCCACGAAAUCAAAUUCACUCAUUCCAAAUGGCUAAUCAGGAAAUCACUAUCCAAGAUCUGCACGCUCAAAUCAUAGCUUUGCAGGAAGAAAAUGCACGCCUCAAGGCUGCACAAACCAACCCCCAGCAGGGUGAAAGUAGCGGACCUGGAGUCGUUCCCACAGACGAUUCCAAUCAGAAAUUCGAACAACUCAGUCAACAACUGGCAGAGUUCAAAGCGUCACAAGCCCUUCUCCAUCGUUCCAAGAGUCACACCGCAGAGCAGCUUGCUGUUCAAUCACUCCAGCAGUUCCAGGAGUCUCCUUUCUCUAAGGAGAUCCUGGAACACGAUUUGCCGAAUAAGCUGAAUGCCCCCAAAUUCGACCAGUAUGCAGGAGUCGGAGAUCCAACCGACCAUGUCAAGGGAUUCCGGAAGUCCCUUCCUCCCCCUCAUCAAAGAAAAGAAGUCUGAAAAGAGGUUCGUUCUAGUAGCUGUCGACUAUUUCACCAAAUGGGUGGAAGCUGUUGCCUUAACCAAUGUAACACAGGCUGAUGUCCAAAGAUUUAUGUGGGAAAAUAUCAUCACAAGGUUCGGACUACCUAAACGGGUGGUCACAGACAAUGGCACUCAGUUCGUGGGUAAAAAUAUAAAGAAAUUCUAUGACCUGUGGAAAAUCGAGCAUUCAAGGUCAACUCCUAGAUACCCACAAGCCAACGGCCAGGUCGAGGCUGCAAAUCGACAGAUUCUAAACAAUUUGAAGAAGAAGCUCGAAGACCAGCAUGAUCAAUGGCCACAACAGUUGGAGAACAUCCUAUGGGCUUAUAGGACAACCCCUCGCACAUCCACGGGGAUGUCACCAUUUAGUCAUUGCUAUGGAGUCGAGGCUGUUAUCCCCACUGAAUUAACAUUUGGAACGACCAAGUCUCUUCUGGUCGACACAGAGCUCAAUAAUCAGAUCUGGUCGUUUGGAAUCGACCUCCUCGAAGAGCGACGCAACCACGCCACUAUAAAGCUCGAGCAAUACCAACAGAGACUCAAGCGAGCUUAUAACAAAGGCGUGCAACCAAGAACUUUCCAGCCAGGAGAACUAGUCCUUAGAAGAAUGUUCAGUAACAAAAGAAAGGACACUAUCGGCAAGCUCAACGCCAAUUGGGAGGGUCCUUACAUUAUCAAGAAAGUUCAGAGCAAUGGUUCUUACCGUCUUCAGACACCAGAAGGGGAGAUCGUUAAGAACCCGUGGAACGCUUUUCAUUUAAAGAAAUUUUAUCAGUGAAAUGUAAGCAUCCAUUCAUUGCAUUUCAAUCUAUAAAUUCAAUUUUGCCUUCAUCUCUGCUCAAACAUGAAUGGCUACGAAAGGUCCAAUCCCUCGACCUACAAAUUACCAAAACUCUAGUCCCUUUGGUAAUUUCAAAUUUUGUUAAGUUUAAUCGCUAACAACUUAACUAGGUGCAUUGGUCAUUCCCUUCCCACGACCAGAAGCACAAUGAAUGCGACCUCAUCCCAAAACAGGUCCAACAUUAUUGUUUGCAAAUCCCAUUCAAGCAGACAAAGCAACAUGAAUAACAAUGCAAGGUAAAUAGUUGAAUUAACUUUUUACUUGAUGAGAUUUUAACAAUUACAGGUACAAUAGACUUAAGGCAUACAAGAGGAACUGUUUCAGUACGUCCUACUUGCAGCCAUUCAUCUCGUCUACCUGCCUUCUGAACGAGCUACCAGGACUCCCUGGAAACUAGCUGGUCAAAAGGACCACAUACAAGCUCAUCAAAAGAGAAACUGACUACUGUUGUUAAUUACAAAAGUCUAUCCACUCAAACUCUCAAAAUUACAAGGGGGCUCUCAAGAAUGCGCUCUGGAAGCUAUGCCAAAUACAAGGAAUGAAAGAAGACAUACUGCAAGAACAAGGAGUGCAAGAAGCAAACGUUGCACAAGGAGACCCAGUAUAAAAAAGGGAAACCAAGGUUACCCAAUACAAGAAAGGGAAACCAAGGUUACGCAGUACAAAAAAGGGAAACCAAGGCUAGCUCAUUACUGCACAGACUGGUCGCCUGCCUCAUCAACUUCAGGAAGGGCUCCAGCGACCUGGUCAUCAGGGCCCAUCGAGGCGUCCUGAGCUGGCGCCAAAGUACCUUCAGCACCACCUCGCGUCUCCUCUCCUUCGGGCGAUCCCGUCAUAGCCUUCACCAGCUGGUCGCAGUAGGCCUUCCACGCUGCCUCAUUCUCCUGGCACACCUUCUGCCAGUACUCAACGGAAGCCAGAGAAGCAGCAUCACGUUCCCUCAACUGCUCCACAGUCUCCUUCAGCGCCGCGACCUGGGCAUCCCUGUCCUUAACCUUGCACUCAGCAACGACAGCAAUGUUCUUUGCCUGCUCAAGCUUCUCAUUGAGCGACCUCAACUCAAUUUCAGCCUGAGCACCAAUCUCAGCAACCAGACGCACCUCCUGGAAGCUGGCAUUUAGCUGCAACCAACAACAGAUUUUAGAUGGAAUAUCAAACAGUAAGCAAAACAAACGCGAUUCAAUUCACACUCACCAAAAACAGAGCCGCGUUUAUCUUUGAGCAGGUUACCAACAGCGGCUGCGACUUCACUGCUCGGGCAUCAGCAUCCAGGACGAUACCCUCAUUCACGGCCCGGGCAACGCAAGGGUCAUUAAUAGCACUGUCGUUAUCAUACACGACGUGCUUCUCUCCUUGACCGUCCAAAUAAUCGAACGGCCCGGGCCGGAAUUCAGACAGAAUUCCCUUGCCUUUCUGCGAAGGCCGAGCAGCAGUCUUCCAGGACAGGGCAGGCAUCCCAGGAGACGUCACAGGCACCGAAGAAACAGGAGCUGGCAUAGCUGGAAGCUCCUUCAGCUUAAGAGUCCCUGAGAAGGACCUCUUCUUCCCAGCCAAGGCACCUACCUUAGGAAGGGAGAUGGGAGGACCCGAGACCGGGGGGCUCGCCACUACCUCAGCGUGUCGAGACCUACCAACGGAUCGCUCCCUCUCCACUGGUACCUCCUUCUCAACAGACCGCUCCUGCCCCAGAGGUCGAUCCUUAUCAGCAGGUCGAUCCUUCUCCGACCUCCGAGGAGCACUGACAGAACGCUCCCUCUCCCCCUGCCUCGAGCUACCACCAGCCCGUUCGCCGUCACCACCUCGCGAACUGCCACCAGCUCGCCCACUUGCAGCUUUCUGAACGGAAGACAUAAACGCUUUCUUCAAAGCUUUCCUCCUCUCGAGCUCUUCCCAAACAGUUUUUGGACCACCUUUAGGAAUAAAAUGCUCCUUUAGGUGAGGCAGAAACGAGAUCUUCCGCUCGUCGCUCCACUUACCAAAGCUGUUCAGAGCGGACUGCAGGUCGUUUUUCCUAAUCAAGUGAUCGUCCCGAAUUGCUGCAACAAAAAAAAUACAACGACAUCAACUUCAAAAGCUAGAAGACAAAUCAACAAUCUUAAUACUACUGACAACCAACUUACGAGCGUCAUUCCUAAUCGUAUGACGCAACUGGAUAUCCCCCUCAACAAUCGGUCCAGUGAACAACAUGGGAUCCUUCCACCAUUGCUCGCUACUCACUGGGUAAAUCAAAGGCAAACGAUCUGGCCUAACCUGCAUGUUAUAGCCAGAGAAUUCAACCUUCGACGACCGUUUGAAGCAAAAGUGGUUCAGUACAUCUUUCGGCGUAAUGUUCCACCUAUGCAAUUGGUUGAGAUCUUCAAUUACCCUCAUAUUCCGCCAGAAGUUACCAUUCAUCUGACAGGGGGCUCGACUAACAGCAUUCAAUACGUCAACCACCAGUCCAGACAAUGGCAACCUCAACCCAGCACGGAAUUGGGGAAGAGUAAAUACAGUUGACGAGGGGUUAUUAGGUCGAUAAUCAGAGGAAAGCAAACGAUCUCCUAGAAACCUAAUCUCCAAAUCCCUAAUCGACCUAAACCCAUACGUCGUCCUAACUAUGACAUGCCUAUUUUACAACCCUAUGCAUUACACCACCGUCUCCCUCCACCAAUUCAUCAUCAGAAGAGUCCGGCCCAUGGGAACCACUACUCUGGGGGCUUUCUACCUCUUCAACGAGAACGGGAGACGGAGGGUCAGAAUGAGUUUUCUCAGACUCAUACUCCUCAAUCUCCUCGUCACCUCCACCACUCAAGUGAUCAUUCUGAGAAUCACCAGCAUCAGACAUUUUUCCCAACCAAUAAGACAAACAGAAGGCAAAACAGAAGAUCAAAGAAGUAAAAGGAAAAGAAAACAAACCUCACGAGCUCUCAAGGUUCUUCAGAUAGCAACUGAAAAGCGGCAGCAAUUCAAAUAAAGAAAAGAUAUGUAAACCCUUCUCAAGGCAACUACAGUUUAUAUACUGUAGCUCAAGCAUUUUCAGCCAUCAGUUCAAAACAGAUGAACGGCCGAGAUCGACCACUGGAUCAAUGUGCAUUGCAGUUAUUCUCCACUCACAAGACGGUUCGUAUCCACCGUUGGAUCAAUCCACGUGCAAGAGAUACAUUCAAUCAAGCAAUACGUGCGUCAGUUGCCAUAACUACACGGCUAACUGCUCGAGGAAACUCUACCACUUCCCCAUAAGAGCGCCAUGAUUACCACAAACAGCGCUGCAUGACUGCCACGUCACCAAUUUCAAAAAGUAAGCCUCAGAUCAACAUCGAAUGGCGCAUUAAGUCUUUUCAGCCCGCCUUCACCAGCCGACCUAAAAAGAGGGGGCUUAUGUAGGGGUACUACAUACUCCAGCCAAUCAAAAGCAGCCACGUGGCACAGUCAUCCACUCACCAGAUCGCUACAGCAUCGACCUCCCCGCAGCUCG
rnacentral:lncRNA from 1 species